UACGAAGGGGGCUAGCGUUGCUCGGAAUCACUGGGUGUAAAGGGUGCGUAGGCUGUCGGUUAAGGCUGAUGUGAAAUCCCUCGGCUCAACUGGGGAACUGCAUUGGAAACUAGCUGACUGGAGUACCGGAGAGGGAAGCGGAAUUCCUGGUGUAGCGGUGAAAUGCGUAGAUACCAGGAGGAACACCGGUGGCGAAGGCGGCUUCCUGGCCGAGUACUGACGCUGAGGCACGAAAGCGUGGGGAGCGAACGGG
rnacentral:rRNA from 1 species